rnacentral:rRNA from 1 species
UACGGGGGGGGCAAGCGUUGUUCGGAAUUACUGGGCGUAAAGGGCUCGUAGGCGGCCAACUAAGUCAUACGUGAAAUCCCUCGGCUUAACCGGGGAACUGCGUCUGAUACUGGAUGGCUUGAGUUCGGGAGAGGGAUGCGGAAUUCCAGGUGUAGCGGUGAAAUGCGUAGAUAUCUGGAGGAACACCGGUGGCGAAGGCGGCAUCCUGGACCGAUACUGACGCUGAGGAGCGAAAGCAUGGGGAGCGAACAGG